AGGAGUUAUUGAGUUUAUGUUCUUCUAGCGCAAAAUGUGUCUGUCAGUUCAAAAUGUUCAACCCUCUAAGCUCAGAGAAAAAAAAGAAACAAAUAAAUAGAAUUCAUGAUAGAAAAAAUCCGUGAAGUUCGCAAGGAAAACAAGAUAAGUUCAAAAAUAAUAAAUAUAUAAGUAGAACAUUGGAGGGAAUUUUAUUGUAGAUUUAACAAUCUGGUGUUACUGCUGCUUGUGUUGACUGUGAUGGAGUACUAUUUGCUAUUCCGGUAUAAUUACAUUCUGCUAUGAGAAUUUGCUGCCGAGGGCAUGAAGUAGCAGCCUGCCAAGUUGCUGCCGCGAAUGAACUUGGUUGAUUGUAGGUGAUUGUACUAAACUUGUUCUAUGUUAUUUAUGGUUAGAACUAUCAAUGGAUAAUGAAGGUGAAAAUGAUUAUAUUGGUCUGCAACAACAGAAAAGUUAGCUGGAAGUAGGAAGUUUGAUUCAUCUGCUACUGCUCUUUUUGGGCUUCUGCUUUACUCCAAAAAUAGUGUGUUUUGGAUUGGAUGCUAGACAACAUGAUUUCAUUUUAGUACUAAGAUUAUUGCAUACACUAAAGUGGCAAUCCCACUGUUGUGUUAACACCUAAUUUUGUUGCUUUGAAUCGGUGAGAUCUUGGAUGUUGGAGUUACCCUUGAAGAAAGAACUUGGGCAUUUGAGUUGCUUCCAUGUGGCGAGUCUUGAUCUUGGUGGCACAAAACUACAUUUCAGUAUCCAACUAUUGCAUCAGGAAGUUGCAUGAGAUGAUUUUCCUUUCAAAUGCAUGCUACGUUUGUAGCUCUCAAAUUUUCUCCUUUGUGGAUGCGUUUGUAAGCAGUCCUUUCUCACCUUUGUUGUCACUUUUUUUGUUGAACUUAAGGAGGAUGCUUGGGAUAAAAUGCCUUAUUUAUUUUGCAAUGCUUGAACUAAUUUGUUUUAGUAGUACAAUUUUUAUUUUUGUAUGUUGUAUGGCUUGCCGACCUGCUCUCUCUCUCUGAUUUGUGAACUGAUACUUUAUAUUUGGUGAACUCUAUCCUAUAUGCGCGCCGCACCAAUCACACCGCUGGUUGCCUGCUCCUCUUGCUUACUCCCGCAUGAGGCACGCUACGCCAAGCACGCACCCAGCCGCCCUGCCUCCGGUAGAUCGACACACUGAGUUCAGUUUGUUUUUUCUAGUUCAAUUCUAAAAAAAAGUUUUCUCCAUCUCUGUAGCUUACUUGAACUGAUAGCUGAUACUCGAUGAACUCUGUCCAAUUUGAAUCUUGAACUGAUAGCUGAUGGUUUUAUGAACUAGUAAAAAAGUUUCUGUUUCAUCUUUGACUCUUGUUCUCUGUUCUUUCACUUUCAAAAUUACGUGCAUGUGCAGAUGCUACUUGUUGAUUGCUACUUGACGCAACCAUUAUGUGCAUGUGCAGAUAUCUGAGUGGAACUUCAUUUUUUUUCCAGUUCAACUUUUGAAUGUGUUUCAGUUCGUCUACUUCCCGGUCGUCCUGAGCUGGAGAAUUGCUGCUACUGUUUAUGUGUUUGCAAAUUUUUGAAAACAAGCUUCAGUACAAGAAAAAUGGGUGGUCAGUCCAGCUCCUGCAACCAACACAGGUCGUUGCCCCUUUUGCCACAACAGUAGCAGCACAAACAUUAGUGUGGUCAUCCUCAACCAGUUUCUCACGCGGCCUCCCCGCAAGCCCUGCUCAUGAUCAGGAUAACCUCGAUAGGUUACACAUGUUGCUCACGAGGCUGAUAGGUUCCACAUGUUGCCCAGGAGUAUACCCGUAUGGAGCGGAGAUGACAGUCGAUCUUGUUGACAAUUCUCAAUAAAAAUGAUGGUGAAGUUGGCAAACGUCUAAAUCAGAUAGUGCAUACCCCUGAUGGCCUAAAACAAGUACUUACACAAACACAUAUAUGAGAUUGCCACGACAUGCCGUUCCACAAGCCACCGCGUCCACGCUCCGCACGCGUCUCCGCGACCAACGCCCCAUAUGAGCCGCCAUGGCCACCAACCACAACGGCGACCAGGGAUCGGGGCGUGGCCUGCUGCAUCCAGCAGGUGCUCACAAGCUGCAGUGUUGCUUCUCCGGCGAGAUGUCAUGCUGCACGGUGCUGCCACACCACCGCAUCUCUAUUUUCUUUUGUAAGUUUUUAUUAAAAGACCUUGGAAUAGCAAGUACAAGUUCAACAGAAGGACAUGCAUCAGUUCGGACCUCAGAA